rnacentral:piRNA from 1 species
UACCUUAAAUCACGAUUGGUAAUAUCC